CACGUAGGCACCAAGCGUUGUCCGGAUUUAUUGGGCGUAAAGAGCUCGUGAGGCGGUUCGGUAAGUCGGGUGUGAAAACUUUGGGCUUAACCCAAAGCGUGCAUCUGAUACUGCUGUGACUAGAGUUCGGUAGGGGGAGUGGGGAAUUCCUAGUGUAGCGGUGAAAUGCGCAGAUAUUAGGAGGAACACCGGUGGCGAAGGCGCCACUCUGGGCCGAAACUGACGCUGAGGAGCGAAAGCGUGGGUAGCAAACAGG
rnacentral:rRNA from 1 species